rnacentral:rRNA from 1 species
UACGAAGGGGGCUAGCGUUGCUCGGAAUCACUGGGCGUAAAGCGCACGUAGGCGGAUUGUUAAGUCAGGGGUGAAAUCCUGGAGCUCAACUCCAGAACUGCCUUUGAUACUGGCGAUCUCGAGUCCGGGAGAGGUGAGUGGAACUGCGAGUGUAGAGGUGAAAUUCGUAGAUAUUCGCAAGAACACCAGUGGCGAAGGCGGCUUACUGGUCCGGAACUGACGCUGAGGUGCGAAAGCGUGGGGAGCAAACAGG